UACGUAGGGUGCAAGCGUUGUCCGGAAUUAUUGGGCGUAAAGAGCGUGUAGGCGGUUCGGUAAGUCUGUCGUGAAAUCCUGAGGCUCAACCUCGGGCGUGCGAUGGAUACUGCCGGGCUAGAGGACGGUAGAGGCGUGUGGAAUUCCGGGUGUAGUGGUGAAAUGCGUAGAGAUCCGGAGGAACACCAGUGGCGAAGGCGACACGCUGGGCCGUACCUGACACUGAGGCGCGAUAGCAUGGGGAGCAAACAGG
rnacentral:rRNA from 1 species